rnacentral:rRNA from 1 species
CCUACGGGGGGCUGCAGUAAGGAAUAUUGGUCAAUGGAGGAAACUCUGAACCAGCCAUCCCGCGUGAAGGAUGAAGGGGCUCUGCCUUGUAAACUUCUUUUGUCUGGGGCGAAAAAGCUCGAUUUAUCGAGAACUGACGGUACCAGAAGAAUAAGCACCGGCUAACUCCGUGCCAGCAGCCGCGGUAAUCCGGAGGGUGCAAGCGUUACUGGGAAUCACGGGGGCUAAGGCGUGUUUAGAAGGCUUAGUAGGAUGGCUGUGGCUUAACCAUGGAAUUGCCAUUGAUACUGCAGAGCUUGAAUGAGGUUGAGGUUGGCGGAAUGUGACAUGUAGCGGUGAAAUGCUUAGAUAUGUCAUGGAACACCGAUUGCGAAGGCAGCUGACUGGACCUAUAUUGACGCUGAGGCACGAAAGCGUGGGGAGCGAACAGGAUUAGAUACCCCUGUAGUC